UAACAGGAUUCCCUUAGUAACUGCGAGUGAAGUGGGAAGAGCUCAAAUUUAAAAUCUGGCAGCCUCCUUUUUGCUACUUGGCUGUCUGAGUUGUAAUCUAGAGAAGUGCUUACCCGUGCUGGACCGUGUAUAAGUCUCCUGGAACGGAGUGUCACAGAGGGUGAGAAUCCUGUCUUUGACACGGACUGCCAGCGCGCUGUGGUGUGCUCUCAAAGAGUCGAGUUGUUUGGGAAUGCAGCUCUAAAUGGGUGGUAAACUCCAUCUAAAGCUAAAUACGGGCGAGAGACCGAUAGCGAACAAGUACCGUGAGGGAAAGAUGAAAAGGACUUUGGAAAGAGAGUUAAACAGUAUGUGAAAUUGUUGAAAGGGAAACACUUGAAGUCAGUUGUGUCAG
rnacentral:rRNA from 2 species